UACGUAGGGUGCAAGCGUUGUCCGGAAUUAUUGGGCAUAAAGAGCUCGUAGGCGGUUUGUCGCGUCGGCUGUGAAAACUCGGGGCUCAACCCCGAGCCUGCAGUCGAUACGGGCAAACUAGAGUGUGGUAGGGGAGACUGGAAUUCCUGGUGUAGCGGUGAAAUGCGCAGAUAUCAGGAGGAACACCGGCGGCGAAGGCGGGUCUCUGGGCCAUAACUGACGCUGAGGAGCGAAAGCGUGGGGAGCGAACAGG
rnacentral:rRNA from 1 species